rnacentral:sRNA from 1 species
AACUAUAAACCAACAAAAAUAGAUAUGGUAACAACUCUUAAAUAAUCAACUUUGAAUCAUGUGGGCAAGUCAUCCAAAGAUUCAUUAUUGUGUAAAAUACUUACCCAACGAUAUAAGGACAGUGGAGAUGAAAACUCCAAUCACCCCAAAAGACAUGAAUAACAUGAUGGUUAAAAAAGUUGUGAAAACUUACAGAACUCUAGUUUCUAUAGCCUGCAAAUUAACAACAAUUUGUAACAUGAGAAAGACAUUUGUACCAUGAAAAAUAGAUUGGUGAAGGAAACACGCCGAUUUGGUGAAGGAAAAUGUCCGAUGGGGUGAAGAAAAGUCAUGCAUUUUCUUAACAUUAAUCGGCCAUUAGAUGUACCAAACUCACCGAUCGUACCCCACGUCAGUGGAGAUAAUGAUCACGCCAAAUCGAGGAUUCAGAGGUCAAAAGUUUGUCAUUGUUUGCUUCCGAUGUCAGUGAAAUCUCACCAGAUUUUGCAAUCGUCCUGAUGAGAGAAAGAGCGAAAGAGAUGAUGAAACAACCAUUAGAGAAAAACACGCGACAGAAGUUUUUCCUUUGCAUCUAGUAUGCUUGGUUCUAAGGAAAAAAAUAAUCGUUGUAGGGUCGCCGAGCUUAUAUAAUACAAGGUCGGGGCAGGCAGAAAUCAUGCCCAUUAAUAGAUUAGGUAGAUUAUAAUUUUCUUAUUUAACUAAACAAUAUAGAAGAGUUUCGCUCUCUCGGCUGCUGUCUUACAAGUUAUAACAUAGGUAAGACAAGAAGUUGGUUUAAAAUAUAAGGGUUUCAUAUUUUAAUUGGGGAGGAUUUUUGUUAAACGUCUGUAGUUAUUUGCCAAACUUUACAGUGUUUAUGCUUAAGCUAAAUGGAAAACUAAUAUAGCAUAUUUAAAUUAUUUUGGUCUCUACUUUAUUUAUGAUAAAACUAAAGUAUUUUUGGGACUUUGUGAAACCUCGAUAUUUAAAUGGUAUUUUCCCUUUUCUAAAAAUAUAUCUGAAGUAUGACACAAUUUUAUUUCACAUAU